UACGUAGGGCGCAAGCGUUAUCCGGAAUUAUUGGGCGUAAAGAGCUCGUAGGCGGUUUGUCGCGUCUGCCGUGAAAGUCCGGGCUCAACUCCGGAUCUGCGGUGGGUACGGGCAGACUAGAGUGAUGUAGGGGGAGACUGGAAUUCCUGGUGUAGCGGUGGAAUGCGCAGAUAUCAGGAGGAACACCGAUGGCGAAGGCAGGUCUCUGGGCCACUACUGACGCUGAGAAGCGAAAGCAUGGGGAGCGAACAGG
rnacentral:rRNA from 1 species